CAAAGGUGUGGAUGUAUCUCUGUGUGUGUCUCUGUUGCAGGAGCAGGAGGAGACCACAGGAGGAAACUUGGGUCACAUGACUCUGCAAAUUUAACCACUGACUAAUGUUUUUAAACAGGGUUACAGGUGGAGUGGAGCUGCUCCAAGAGGGAAACCCUGGAGAUUGUUUUAGGGAGAAUGUGCGACAUUUUUGUACAUGUCUCAUUGUGUGGAGUUGACACAUGGCGAGAGCUGUGUGGCACAAGAGGAGUGUCAAUUUUUGAUUUGCAGGUGUCGUGAGGUGCCAUGACGAGAAGGAGUGACUGAGGAAGAUCGUCCACAAGAUGGAAGCUGAGGCCAGGAGAGAGGCUUCAGGAGGAUCAGAGAUCAUCUUCAGCACAGCAGACAUCCCACAGAGAGCUGUGCUACUGGGCUUCCAGGAGAUCGUCAUGAGGAGACUUCGCACAGCAAAAUCUUAAAUAAAAUGAAAGAGAUUCAGCAUUGAUGUUGAGGAAGACAACUAAGGUGUACGACGUGCUCUACCUUAAAUCGUCCGCGGUGUUGGAACGUGAGAACCUGAGGGAUGAAGGAGCGUGCCAAGCUCCAUCUGACGGGCAGGAGCAAGUUCAGCGAUGGACUUGUGGUUCUGUGAACAGCACAAAUGCCAGGUGCUUUUAUUUUGAAAGGGGCCGGGAGAAAAAGAAACGAGGG
ensembl:lncRNA